AUUGAACGCUGGCGGCAGGCCUAACACAUGCAAGUCGAACGAGUGGCGGACGGGUGAGUAAUGUCUGGGAAACUGCCAGAUUGAGGGGGAUAACUACUGGAAACGGUAGCUAAUACCGCAUACCAUCAGAUGUGCCCAGAUGGGAUUAGCUUGUUGGUGGGGUAACGGCUCACCAAGGCGACGAUCCCUAGCUGGUCUGAGCGGAUGACGAGCGACACUGGAAAUGAGUAACGGUCCAGACUCGUACGGUAGGCAGCAGUGGGGAAGAUUGAACAGUGGGCGAAAGCCUGAUACAGCCAGGCCGCGUGUAGGAAGAAGGCCUACGGGUUGUAUAGUACUUUCAGCGGGGAGGCGUUACCCGUAGAAGAAGCACCGGCUAACGCCGAGCCAGCCGCCGCGGUAAUAC
rnacentral:rRNA from 1 species